GGGAUAUUGCACAAUGGGGGAAACCCUGAUGCAGCGACGCCGCGUGGGUGAAGAAGCUUUUCGGAGCGUAAAGCCCUAUCAGCAGGGAAGAAAGCCCGCAAGGGUUAGACGGUACCUGACUAAGAAGCCCCGGCUAACUACGUGCCAGCAGCCGCGGUAAUACGUAGGGGGCGAGCGUUAUCCGGAUUCACUGGGCGUAAAGGGAGCGCAGACGGCAUAUUAAGUCCGGGGUGAAAACACGGGGCCCAACCCCGUGCCUGCCCCGGAUACUGGUAAGCUGGAGUGCGGGAGAGGUGUGCGGAAUUCCUGGUGUAGCGGUGAAAUGCGUAGAGAUCAGGAGGAACACCGGCGGCGAAGGCGGCACACUGGACCGUAACUGACGUUGAGGCUCGAAGGCGUGGGGAGCAAACA
rnacentral:rRNA from 1 species